AAAUCAAAAUCUGACCCCAGCAUUAGCCAUGAGGUAGUGUUCCUGUUGAGGAAUGCAGGGGUUUCUCUUCCAACACUUGUU
ensembl:misc_RNA